rnacentral:rRNA from 1 species
UGAAGAGGGAAACAACCCAGACCGCCAGCUAAGGUCCCAAAGUCAUGGUUAAGUGGGAAACGAUGUGGGAAGGCCCAGACAGCCAGGAUGUUGGCUUAGAAGCAGCCAUCAUUUAAAGAAAGCGUAAUAGCUCACUGGUCGAGUCGGCCUGCGCGGAAGAUGUAACGGGGCUAAACUAUGCACCGAAGCUGCGGCAGCGACACUAUGUGUUGUUGGGUAGGGGAGCGUUCUGUAAGCCUGUGAAGGUGUGUCGUGAGGCAUGCUGGAGGUAUCAGAAGUGCGAAUGCUGACAUAAGUAACGAUAAAGCGGGUGAAAAGCCCGCUCGCCGGAAGACCAAGGGUUCCUGUCCAACGUUAAUCGGGGCAGGGUGAGUCGACCCCUAAGGCGAGGCCGAAAGGCGUAGUCGAUGGGAAACGGGUUAAUAUUCCCGUACUUGGUGUUACUGCGAAGGGGGGACGGAGAAGGCUAUGUUGGCCGGGCGACGGUUGUCCCGGUUUAAGCGUGUAGGUGUGUGUUCCAGGUAAAUCCGGUUCACUUUAACACUGAGGCGUGA